rnacentral:rRNA from 1 species
GACGAACGCUGGCGGCGUGCUUAACACAUGCAAGUCGAACGGAAAGGCCCUGCUUUUGUGGGGUGCUCGAGUGGCGAACGGGUGAGUAACACGUGAGUAACCUGCCCUUGACUUUGGGAUAACUUCAGGAAACUGGGGCUAAUACCGGAUAGGAGCUCCUGCUGCAUGGUGGGGGUUGGAAAGUUUCGGCGGUUGGGGAUGGACUCGCGGCUUAUCAGCUUGUUGGUGGGGUAGUGGCUUACCAAGGCUUUGACGGGUAGCCGGCCUGAGAGGGUGGCCGGCCACAUUGGGACUGAGAUACGGCCCAGACUCCUACGGGAGGCAGCAGUGGGGAAUAUUGCACAAUGGGCGGAAGCCUGAUGCAGCAACGCCGCGUGCGGGAUGACGGCCUUCGGGUUGUAAACCGCUUUCGCCUGUGACGAAGCGUGAGUGACGGUAAUGGGUAAAGAAGCACCGGCUAACUACGUGCCAGCAGCCGCGGUGAUACGUAGGGUGCGAGCGUUGUCCGGAUUUAUUGGGCGUAAAGGGCUCGUAGGUGGUUGAUCGCGUCGGAAGUGUAAUCUUGGGGCUUAACCCUGAGCGUGCUUUCGAUACGGGUUGACUUGAGGAAGGUAGGGGAGAAUGGAAUUCCUGGUGGAGCGGUGGAAUGCGCAGAUAUCAGGAGGAACACCAGUGGCGAAGGCGGUUCUCUGGGCCUUUCCUGACGCUGAGGAGCGAAAGCGUGGGGAGCGAACAGGCUUAGAUACCCUGGUAGUCCACGCUGUAAACGGUGGGUACUAGGUGUGGGGUCCAUUCCACGGGUUCCGUGCCGUAGCUAACGCUUUAAGUACCCCGCCUGGGGAGUACGGCCGCAAGGCUAAAACUCAAAGGAAUUGACGGGGCCCCGCACAAGCGGCGGAGCAUGCGGAUUAAUUCGAUGCAACGCGUAGAACCUUACCUGGGUUUGACAUGGAUCGGGAGCGCUCAGAGAUGGGUGUGCCUCUUUUGGGGUCGGUUCACAGGUGGUGCAUGGCUGUCGUCAGCUCGUGUCGUGAGAUGUUGGGUUAAGUCCCGCAACGAGCGCAACCCUUGUUCACUGUUGCCAGCACGUUAUGGUGGGGACUCAGUGGAGACCGCCGGGGUCAACUCGGAGGAAGGUGGGGAUGACGUCAAGUCAUCAUGCCCCUUAUGUCCAGGGCUUCACGCAUGCUACAAUGGCUGGUACAGAGAGUGGCGAGCCUGUGAGGGUGAGCGAAUCUCGGAAAGCCGGUCUCAGUUCGGAUUGGGGUCUGCAACUCGACCUCAUGAAGUCGGAGUCGCUAGUAAUCGCAGAUCAGCAACGCUGCGGUGAAUACGUUCCCGGG